rnacentral:rRNA from 1 species
ACUCCUACGGGAGGCAGCAGUGGGGAAUUUUGCGCAAUGGGGGAAACCCUGACGCAGCAACGCCGCGUGAGUGAUGAAGGCCCUUGGGUCGUAAAGCUCUGACAGAGGGAAAGAAGUGUAGAGUGGCCAAUAUCCACAUUACUUGACGGUACCCUCAAAGGAAGCACCGGCUAACUCCGUGCCAGCAGCCGCGGUAAUACGGGGGGUGCAAGCGUUGUUCGGAUUUAUUGGGCGUAAAGCGCGUGUAGGCGGUUUUAUAAGUCUGAUGUGAAAGCCCUGGGCUCAACCCGGGAAGUGCAUUGGAUACUGUAAGACUUGAAUACGGGAGAGGGUAGUGGAAUUCCUAGUGUAGGAGUGAAAUCCGUAGAUAUUAGGAGGAACACCGGUGGCGAAGGCGGCUACCUGGACCGAUAUUGACGCUGAGACGCGAAAGCGUGGGUAGCAAACAGGAUUAGAUACCCUGGUAGUCCACGCCGUAAACGAUGAGAACUAGGUGUCGCGGGUA